CUACGGAGGCAGCAGUAAGGAAUAUUGGACAAUGGGCGCAAGCCUGAUCCAGCCAUGCCGCGUGUGUGAAGAAGGCCUUCGGGUUGUAAAGCACUUUCGGACGGAACGAAAUCGCGCGCAUGAAUAUUGCGCGUGGAUGACGGUACCGUAAGAAGAAGCACCGGCUAACUACGUGCCAGCAGCCGCGGUAUUACGUAGGGUGCAAGCGUUAAUCGGAAUUACUGGGCGUAAAGGGUGCGCAGGCGGCCCCGCAUGUCAGGCGUGAAAUCCCCGAGCUCAACUUGGGAAUGGCGUCUGAAACUACGGGGCUGGAGUGUGGCAGAGGGAGGUGGAAUUCCAGGUGUAGCGGUGAAAUGCGUAGAGAUCUGGAGGGACACCGAUGGCGAAGGCAGCCUCCUGGGCCAACACUGACGCUCAUGCACGAAAGCGUGGGGAGCAAACAGGAUUAGAAACCCCAGUAGUCC
rnacentral:rRNA from 1 species